CCCUCUCUCUCUCUCCCCCUCUCUCUCUCCCCCCCCCUCUCUCUCUCUCUCCCCCCCCCCUUUCUCUCUCUCUCUCUCUCCCUCUCCCUCUCUCUCUCUCUCUCUCUCUCUCUCUCUCUCGGUGCUCAAGGCUUUGUGUCCAUGUUUGUUAGGGUUUGUGACUUUUUUGGCUGGAAAAAAAAUUUGCUGUUUUUGCACUGCUUCCUGGGGCUCCUCAUGAACUGAAGGAUGUGACCCAGGGUCAGUGCCGAUGACCGUGGCUUAAAGGAAAAGGAGCCGUCUUGGCAGGCUCCCCGGGGCGGUCUGGGGUCCUUUCACGUGGCUGCAGGGACCCACCGCCCGGUUCCCAGUGUGGUGGGCUCUCCUCGCCCGUCACUGGGGGACCUCCACAGCGGCUGCUCGCCAGUGUGGGAGCCACCCCGGCCCCUGGCACCAGCUGGGCGUGCACAGGGUGCUCCCGCCCCUUUACCCGGCUGACCGGAAGCGCAGGGGGUGGGGCUGUGCAGAGCUGCCUAGAAGUCAGGGAGGGCGCCAGGCCUGGGUCCCUGACCCGCAGGGCCCCAGCCUCCCAUGUUUUCCCGGGCCCGGGCUUCCGCUCUUGCUGACCUCGGGGCACGUGGGGAGGUCUCUAAAGGCCCCGCUUCCAAGUUCAGGGCUUCGAGGGGGAUCGGGGAAGAAACUAUUUGCAAGGCUCAACUAAAACCAUUCACGGCUUUCCUACACAUAGACUAGUCGUUUUUGUCUCCAAAACCUUCGGCUUUUGUAUUUUUUUAAUUACACUGUUAUCCUUGAUUAUUGUCUUUUUUAUUGAGUUGUUGGAGAAGCAGGAGAUAGUCGUGCCUCAUUCUGUUAUUGCAAAAACGUAACAAUAAACUUCCUCAAAAUAAGGUCUUUUCUCCGUGGUUACGCUGUUUACCUAGAAGGACACGUGUAGGUUUUUCCCUGAAACACUCCUCUGUCUGUAGAGAAAGGGUCUUAAAAGAUAAUGUGUUCUAACCUAUGUAAUUUAUAGAGAUGUCUAGUAUUCCUGCUCUUGUAACUUUAGUUACUUCUGGGAAAAAGAAAAAUAAAUCCAAGAUCCAAAAUCAUCUCAAAACACAAUGAUUAGUUACGGUCAUGACCGCCUCACUCGGGCGUCCCGAGGCCAGGCCGACCCUGGCUGGGCGGGACUCCCCUGAUGCACGUGCCUACGGGACAGGGACAGCGGGCAACGGCUCACAUUCACGCGUGGCCCCGUUAGCCCGGGCCGGAGGGUCUGGUGUGAGGACGACCACCUUAGCCCUCUGGGCGUUCUUUACGGCUGUCCUCCGCAUUCAGAGCCCAGAGCGCAACAACGCCAAUGCUAAUUGUACUUGAAGUUUCAUUAUUUGAUAAUCGGCUUUUAUUUCCAAGACACAACUUCAAAGCCAACCAAAGUGGCUUGUGCACAGAGACGUGUGCGUGUGUGCGCGCAGGGACCUCACAUGGUAUGAGUGAGGCCCUGAGUGCCUGUCUGAGAACCCCAGGACCACCUACAGGUGGACGCUUGGCGCGGCCUGAGCCCUGUAACCAGAGGGCGCCAGGGGGAUGGGCAGGAGGGUGUUGGUUCCGCGGCCACGACCCCCACGGUUCUGGUCCCAGCCACAGAAUGAAGAAACCUCCCGCCGGAGUGAUGAGUGAUGCCCAGUCGUGGGCACGCUUUGUCACAGGACUGUCCUCCGGAAGGCUGUCCAGCGGCCGUGGCCUGGGUAGGCGCCACAGCACCCGGUUACGCGGGAGGGUGGGAGCCCCUCUGCCGAAAUGCUGGCUGGGAGCCUGCCACGUGGUUAGUCACCCACGGCGGUGGGCCAAGCUCUUUGUGUCCCAGUGUCAACCCUUGUAACCGGGGAGGAAGCAGUGAUUCUCCGCGCUGGCGCCACGGUCAGAAGCCCCGGCCCAGCCCUCCCCGCGGGGCCUGCCCAGCAGGGACCCCAUCUGUGCAGAGUCCCGAGCUCCUGGCCAUCUCCCGUGCAUCCGGGGCUCCGAGCCACCGGACAGAUCAGCCGUAAUGGAGGCCUUCUCCUGGGCUGCGUCCUGUGUCCCUGUGCGGCUAACCUCGCUGUGACCAGCAGCCCGCCUCUAGAGAAAGCCACGGCAGCGGGCGGGCUGCUCUGGAGAGCGAGGGUGGCCGCGCCUUUCCCCGCGGUGGACAACCUCCCCCGCCCUGCGGCCCGUCUUCUCCAUGAGGUACGUCACGUGCGCUCGGCAGCCUCCUUCUGGAACGAUCCGUGGGGCUCGCGUGUGUGGUGCCAUGUUUCUCUGACUGGGCAUCGGGGCUGCCGGUCCCAGUCGGGAGGCGGUGCUGGGUCCGCAGCUUGGGGGUGCCGACAGCCCCCGUGUGGGGCCGUUCCUGAGGCAGUGCCCGGCCCUGACAAGAAAGCCGUUGGGUCCCCCGAGGAAGGAGCUGUCUCUCGCCGUCUUCUGCUAGGGAAGGACUUCAGGGCUCUCGAAGCUUGGAGACUGGUAAGCUCAGUAGGGUGUGUUAGAACAGGUGGGUGUGAUCUCCGCACCUCACUGUCCUCUCCAGGUGGAAACGCACUAGAGAAGGUAACAGGUUACUCCCAGGAGCCCUUCUGUCGCCCGGCUUCCCUCUGCUUCACACCCACGCGGCUCCUUGGAGGCGCCUGCCCAGCCCUGACCAUGGUGACCUCGCCUGGGAGCCGCACCCGAAGCCCCCGGGGCUGUUAGAGCUGUAUUUUGCAAGCUCGGGGCUUUCCCUAAUCCAAGAUUGCUGAACUGGUUCCAGGAGGGCUGAGCUUUCCCAAGGCUGUAAUCCCAGAUCAGGAACAGACAGCUUCUCAAAUUCCCGGCAGGUGGACCUUCCCAGAGAUUGGUGUCCGUUGUGUUGGGGGGUGGGAAUGGGGUGGCACGCAGGCCCUGGGGUUCCCGCCCAGAAAGACCACAGAGGGCAGUGGGCUCUCCUAGCCGAUGGGAGUAGGGGACAGCUAGGACGGGGAGGGGUGCUCUCGGGUCUGACCCUGACCUGCGGCAGCGCCUCCCCCUUGGAUCUUCCCAGUUUUCAGCAGAACGUCCUAAAAUGUCAUCGUGGGAGUCUUAGCAGGGACCUGUAGACUUCACACCUGGCUCUCAAUGAACGCAGCUCAACCAGAAAAUGAGGUUAUUUUCAAGUCGGUUAUAGACGUAGUUGUUUCUUUUCAGAGGGUUUUAUUUUUUAUGUGCGUGUAACGUGAACCCAAGUGAAACACGAGAGCAGCUGCCCUGGGGUUUCUAAAGGAGCCCGAGUUUCCUCUCAGGCCCGUGGAUGAGCGAGUAGCCACCCCGCAGGUGAGGAGGGACCGGCCGUGCCACGGGGCGACCCUGAGCCACAGCGAUCGGAGGGCCUCCCUUCUCUAGCCAGGUCACCUUGUCAUUAACCGUGAAUUCACUUGACGUUUUGUUUGUGAAAGCUGAUGUGUUUCCUCCGAGGGCACGUGCUCCCGGCUGUCUGCAGCCCAGCUGGAGUUUCCCUGUGGAACAGGACUUGCGCGAGGGCCUGGGUCCACACGGCCCCCGUGUCGUCUUGUAAGGUGGCGCUCAAGUCGGCUGCAGGGCGAUGAAGACCUUGACCCCCUCAGAUGGGAACGCGUACUCCGAGCCCAGUUCUGUCACUUUCUGGCACCAGUGCAGGCGGUUUGCCUCUCCCGGCUGACGUCAGAGUGACCAGCAGGAAGGAAGAGGGACAGCGGGGGUGCAGGCAGAUCCUGCUUUGUGACCUGUAGUCUCUGUCCUGAAGCCACAGCCAGAGACCGUCUGUCCUGCCGAUGGUCCGGAAGCACUUGGGGGCAGCACAUCCACCCGGCUGUGCCCCCCGCUCCAUCCAGGAAGUGACCCCUGCGGAAGCCCCCACAGCACCACCCGUCACGGUGCCCGGGGAAACAGGUCAGUGCCAGCCGUCGACAGGAAGCUCUCGGUCACUGGGAGCCUUCAGACCAGCCCGAGGUUCUCUGGGGCUCCCCGACUGGGCCACGCCGUCAGGGGGACGCCUGGGGGAGCCACACACCUUUCCCGGACCCGCUUGCAGCAGGUGGGUGGAGGUCUCGCCGGCUGGUCUGUGGGUGGCGGGUGGAGGCAUGGGGGGGACUUCCCGCGGACAGUCCGUGGCAGCUGUGGCCGUGUUCGCCAUCGUCUGUCCUGUUCGGGGUUGAGAUCUUAUUGGACUCUCAACCGAGCCCGCUUACAAAGAAAUUUAAAACGGCUCUCUGGAGGCUGUCCGUUUCUAGAACCUUCGCGAAUACCUUUGGACCUUGUUCAGAUUGGCAGGUUGUCCCGUGACACAGUACAGCGUUAUGUGGCCAGCCGCCCCAUGGUUGACCCUGUGCCCCGCAAGCGCCCUACCGGUGCCCCCCGCGCGGCCCCCUUAUUGCGGCCGCUCCCGCCGCUGAGCCAGCGCAGAGGACGCUGCAGGAGGCCGGGGCUGCCGUGACAUUCUCGCUGCAGCGUUCGCUUGAAGACACCAGCUCUGAGCCCUUCCGGGGUCGUUACACACUGAAGGAAGCCCCAGGAUGACAGCCACGGGCUCCGUCACGGGCACUUCCGUGAAAGGGCCACGCCGAGCCCACCCACGGAGGUCCUGGGACAGGCCUCCGUCUGUGAAGACGUGCACCGGGUUAAAAUCCUUACCGUGAGGUGUGAAAACGCCCUGUGCGGCUCCGGUGGUGGGCGUAGCACUUUCAGCGUAUGUGGCUUUUCUGAGUGCGUUCACGUUUGCCUUGAAUGACGUUUGUUUUCCUGGCAUGUUGCAACCGCCGCCCCCCCCCCCCCCCCCCCCCCCCCCCCCCGCCACCGCCAGCUCCUGCUGCCUGCGGCCGCCGCGUGUGACAUGUUUAGGAUGGAGGGGGCCGUGUGGCCGGGCAACCUGCAAUGCGUGUUUAGCGGGGCAUCCACAGGCCACCUGGGCCAAACUGUACUUUCCAGAACCCCGGGCCCCCUCAUGGUUGUGCUGUGGAUGAAGCGUGCCUGUCUCCUGCCCGUCCUUCGCCUCCGUAACCCCGGCCCGUCCCUGCUGGCCCUUCGUCCUGCGGGGUGCUGGCUCCCCUGGCAGGAACGCCUCAUACGGCCGGGGCUCCCCCCACGGCACACUGCCAUCUUCACCCCUGCCCUUCCACGGGCAGACUUGCUGCCUGGAUGGGAGCAUCAACCUUGACCCCAGAAAGCUUGGAAACAGGUACUGUGCAUUUAGGAACGGAGUCAGUUUGGUAAGUCGGAUUUUUAAACCCCGCCGGCAGGGAUAUUAUGAACGUAGAGGUUCCUCCAGGGCGUGUGUGUGGCCAAGGGGACCAGACCCUCCAGGCCUGCCCACGUGGGCGAGGGCCAGAGCCCCUCGGACACCCGGAGCCGUGUGCACCUGCCGCCCUCACGGCCGGGCGGGCCUCCUGCCUUCUAGCAGGAGGGCACGCCUCCUGGAUUCCAAGGGUGGGUGUCAGGUGGAACUCACCGUCUGCCCGCAAGGCCUUUUCUUCAUUCAGGUUGACAGCAUUUAUUUAUUUGAGAACGAUAAUGUGACACAGAAGUGGUUCAGAAAUUUGAACUACAUGGAAUUUUCCCCGUAUGGCACAGUUGUUCGGAGCCUCAGCACAGAGAUGCCUACGUUCAGGUUGUAUGUUUCCCCUUGGCUUCGGGGCUUUUAAAAAUAGGAAUGAUGGCACCCGGCUGGCUUAGUCGAGAACACCACUCUUGGGGGUUGGGAGUUCCAGGCCCAUGCUGGGCAAGGAGACUGCUUAAAUACAAAAUCUUAAAAAAAAAAAAAAAAUACAAACAGUGCCCAUCAAGCAGUUUAAUCUGGUUGUGACUGGAGCGGAUGUAAUCUGGACGAAUUUGGUGCCAUUGAGAGAGAGGGCUCCUGGGGACGGGGCCAUGGGCUGCAGGGCUCGGGACCCAUGACAAGCUGGUGCCGGACCGACAGAGGUCCACCUCCCGAGCCCUGCAGGGAGAAGCAGGAGCAGGGGAGGGCAGGCCCGAGAGCAGAGUGAACGAGAGGUAGCGCUGUGGGGCCUCUGCCUCCCGUCCCACUAGGGCUGCCGCGUGCCAGCCAGGACGCCACCGUCCCACCUUCAGUGAAGUGUCUCCAGUGGGGUGUUCAGGGGGAGCACCCAGGUCACUCCCAAGGGAUGUAGGUAGAACGUGGCUCAGGCCCGUGUCUCCCUCCCUGUAUUUUUCCUGCUUGCACACUUAGGCCAAGUGGACGGAGGAUGGUGUGUUCCUGCCUUUGACAUUAGGCCGCUCCUUUCUGCAGGCUCAGGACCCCACACGGUGCUCUCGCUCUCCUCCUGCGACCCCGUGCGUCCCAGCUCUGGCCACCCCCGGCUUCUGUGACUCGCCUGUCACAUGCAGCUCCCAGGAGCAUCCCCACGGGCGGGCCGAGGGACGAAGGCAGCAGGCCCACCAACGGGCCCCCGGUGGGAGGCCGCAUCCACGAGGAAAGGUCAUGAACAGUCCAGCUGACAGCUCUCUUACUCUGACCCGGUGUGGCGAGAACCAAGAGGUCAGCUUCUGUUGCUGCAAGUCUGAAGGUGGGAAAUCAAAGUGAUGUCGGCCUCAGACGGAAUCAAGCGCCCCGGGAGCCCUCUGCUUUGUCGGCCUGCUGUGGCGGCCGGUGAGCGUGUGCCCGCUUGUGCUGUGGGGGCCUCGAGCUGGUGAGCAACGCGCAGCUCCGUGGCCGGCCCCGCUGACCUCAGGCCAGUGAGACACCCCUUACCCAUACUCACAGACAUGGGGGAGCAGUGCCGUGAAGCGUGUCCGGGCACCCGGGAGGGAGCCGUGUCGGCCGUGGCCAGCCGAGGGAGGGGACAGCGCCCGAGAAGCAGGAGCAGUCAGCGUGGUAGGAGCCCCCGGGGACAGGUGAUGCACGGCCAUAAAAGGGUCCCGAUGGAGAUGCGUGGGCAGCAGCCCCGUGGAGUCCCUCACAUGGAACCCGGCCGAUGGUGUUUCCAGGGAAUUUGGUGGGCCCCCGGGGUCCCAGCAGAGGCGGGGUCACGGAUCCCCCUGAGACCAUGCCCGUGGCAGGCGUGUUGGCCCCGGCCGUGCGAGUUGAGGGUCGCCCUGGUCAUCACCAGGCGGGAUAGCUGGGGUUGGAUGGAACGCUAGUGACCCCAGGACCUUUCUUGGAAAUUGCUUUUUCAAACAGAGCCCUGACAGGUUUGUUUCCCUUUGUGUCUGUAGGCACUAGCGAGUUCAAACCUAAACCUGGGUCAUCCCGGCUCCUCCCGCAUCAGGGUGCUGCGUGAGCUGUGCUCCAGCUGACGCUCAGGGUCCGCCUUCUCUGCUGGGCUCUCUGAGGGCUGGACGUUUGCGCUUUCCCUGGACGUCCUUGAAUCCGGUUCCCUGUACCUGUGUAGCUGCCCCACUGUGAUCAGGAGUCUCCAGGCUUGGUUGGGCCUCUCCUGGCAGAGGUGACCUCUGAGGCCCGGCCCGGAAGGGUUUCCAGCUCCAGUUUGGGAGCUGCUUGGUGGGGCCCGGACCCUCCUGGCUUUCCCGGGGACGACUCACCCACCCAGGCGGCUGCCCAGACCUGCAGGGAGUCAGCCCAAUGUGCUGCAGCUGCUGACCCCCGCCCCGCCCCUUGGACUUACCUGUGUGCUCCUAGGAAAGAGCCAGAAUACAGAAGGUCUGCAGCCUUGCAGUCUCCCGCCGACCCCCAAGCCCAGGUCUCCGGAGGAGGGCAGCAUUCUUGCCAGGGUUGUCGAGAAUCGAGGAGGAUGGAGCUGUCACCCCCAUGGCACAUGCUGAGCCCCUGAGGCCCCCAGCUCCCCCAGUCCAUCGGUCUGGAGACAGACCUUUGGCAGAAGAUGGAAGGGACCCGGAAGCUAGGUCAUAUGCGGAGGAGGUGAUCCCAUCCCCCAUGGUCUUCUGGACCUUGCCACCACCCUUCAAAGGCCCAGGGGCCCCCUGCUAGUGAAGCCGGCACCGGCAGACAUGGGAGCACACGGAAGGAUUUCAGAUGCGGGAAGCAAAGUUUGACAGAAGUAAAUGGGGACAGUUGACCCCCCGGGGCAGCCGGCCCCCCACGGCCUCAACACUUGUUAGAACGAGUUGUCAACACCACAGGCCCCUUUUGUCAGAACACCAAGGGUGACAGCAGGCAGAGGUGGUGUCGGGGACACAGCGUGAAAGCCUGAGGACAGGAAAGCGGGCCUCCACGGCGCCGUCCACCUGCGCCAGCUCCUCCUCCGUCACCUCCCGCUCCAGGGCCCGGAUGCAGCGCUCCAGCCACCGUCCGUGCUCCCUGAUGGCGUCCACGGCGGGGCCGCACCCAGGCGGGCUGUCCGGGGCGGCCGGGGAGCCCAGCCCCUCCUCGGGCUCCGGCUCGGGGCCCGCGGAGAAGGUGUGGCUCCACGUGUCGGGGGUCAGGGGCUCCGACCCGCUGUCGCAGCUCAGGCCCGAGUCGGCGCUGCAGGGCGGAGUCUCGUCCGAGGCGGACGGCGCCCCUGCAUCCGCGUCGGGCCGCGACCCGGCUCGAGUCCAGGCGUAAAGUCUCUGCGAGGGAGAGACACGGGCUGGGUGUCCUGGGCCCCGUCCCUCACCUCGUCCGCGCGCUGCCGGCCCCGGCGCCCGCCAGGCUCCGUGUGGGGCCAGCUCCGGAGCAGUUAAAUUCUACCGAGUGUGCACUUGACCUCAGGCUGCCUUCACAACAAUAAAUACCCAAAACUCC